AUGGCGGGAAGCAGCCCUGCUGCUCCUCAUCUCAAAAAUGAGACCAAGUCUGCCACUGAGGUGGUCCGCACAGGCAAGCGCAACGUGAGCCCCAGAGCACUAGUGGCCGCGCGCUCGGGGGAGGGUGCCCGGCGCUGGCGGCUAAUGAGCUGCACGGUGCUGGCGCUGGGCCAGGGAAAGCACGCAGGGAGAGGCGAGCAGAGUCGGCGGGUUGCGACCAAUCUCACUCACAGGUCACACCCUGUGCUGGAAUCAGCUUCAGACUCAUCACACACAGACAUGGUGAUCUCCAUACCUCUCCUGGGGUUGCUGUUGCUCUGGCUUUCAGGUGCCAGAUGUGACAUCCAGAUGACCCAGUCUCCAGACUCACUUCCUGUGUCUCUGGGAGACACUGUCACCAUGACAUGCCAGGCCAGUCAAAAUAUUUACAGUAGUUUAGCAUGGUAUCAGCAGAAACCAGGGAAUCCUCCCAAGCUCCUGAUCUGUGAAGCAAAAGGCUUGGCAGAUGGGGUCCCAAAGAGGUUCAGUGGCAGUGGAUCUGGCACACAGUAUUCUUUCAAGAUCAGUGGCCUGAAGUCUGAAGAUGUUGCAACAUAUUACUGUCAACAGUAUAGCAGUUAA